rnacentral:rRNA from 1 species
GACGAACGCUGGCGGCGUGCCUAAUACAUGCAAGUCGAACGCAUUUUCUUUCACCGUAGCUUGCUACACCGAAAGAAAAUGAGUGGCGAACGGGUGAGUAACACGUGGGUAACCUGCCCAUCAGCGGGGGAUAACACUUGGAAACAGGUGCUAAUACCGCAUAAUUCCAUUUACCGCAUGGUAGAUGGGUGAAAGGCGCUUUUGCGUCACUGAUGGAUGGACCCGCGGUGCAUUAGCUAGUUGGUGGGGUAACGGCCUACCAAGGCUGCGAUGCAUAGCCGACCUGAGAGGGUGAUCGGCCACACUGGGACUGAGACACGGCCCAGACUCCUACGGGAGGCAGCAGUAGGGAAUCUUCGGCAAGGGACGCAAGUCUGACCGAGCAACGCCGCGGGAGUGAAGAAGGUUUUCGGAUCGUAAAACUCUGUUGUUAGAGAAGAACAAGGAUGAGAGUGGAAAGUUCAUCCCUUGACGGUAUCUAACCAGAAAGCCACGGCUAACUACGUG